rnacentral:miRNA from 1 species
UGUUUUCAUAGGCCAUGUAGAGC